UGGUUAAUGGUUUCAGUGGUUUAC
rnacentral:siRNA from 1 species